rnacentral:sRNA from 1 species
GAUUAGCCCGCGUUAGGGAUUGCAGUGAAAAUCCUUUUUGUGAGGCACGAGCAAAAAGAUUGUAACGGAAAGCCCGACCCUCG